rnacentral:rRNA from 1 species
CCUACGGGAGGCAGCAGUGAGGAAUAUUGGUCAAUGGACGAGAGUCUGAACCAGCCAAGUAGCGUGAAGGAUGACUGCCCUAUGGGUUGUAAACUUCUUUUAUAGGGGAAUAAAACGUUCCACGUGUGGGAUUUUGUAUGUACCAUAUGAAUAAGGAUCGGCUAACUCCGUGCCAGCAGCCGCGGUAAUACGGAGGAUCCGAGCGUUAUCCGGAUUUAUUGGGUUGAAAGGGAGCGUAGGGGGAUUGGUAAGUCCGUUGUGAAAGUUGGCGGCUCAACCGUAAAAUUGCAGUUGAAACUGGCAGUCUUGAGUACAGUAGAGGUGGGCGGCCUUC